rnacentral:rRNA from 1 species
UACGGAGGGUGCAAGCGUUAUCCGGAUUCACUGGGUUUAAAGGGUGCGUAGGUGGAUUAGUAAGUCAGUGGUGAAAUCUCCGGGCUUAACCCGGAAACCGCCAUUGAUACUAUUAGUCUUGAAUACCGUGGAGGUCAGCGGAAUAUGUCAUGUAGCGGUGAAAUGCUUAGAUAUGACAUAGAACACCAAUUGCGAAGGCAGCUGGCUACACGAGCAUUGACACUCAGGCACGAAAGCGUGGGGAUCAAACAGG